GGCACUAUAGCCAAGUGGUUAAGGCGACAGAUUAGAAUUUGCGGUAUGUAGCACUUCUAUCUGUUACUCUCUGAGUGCGCAGGUUCAAAUCCUGCUGGUGUCG